UACGUAGGGUGCAAGCGUUGUCCGGAAUUAUUGGGCGUAAAGAGCUCGUAGGCGGUCUGUCGCGUCUGCUGUGAAAACUCGGGGCUUAACCCCGGGCCUGCAGUGGGUACGGGCAGACUAGAGUGCGGUAGGGGAGACUGGAAUUCCUGGUGUAGCGGUGAAAUGCGCAGAUAUCAGGAGGAACACCGGUGGCGAAGGCGGGUCUCUGGGCCGACCCUGACGCUGAGGCGCGAAGGCGUGGGGAGCGAACGGG
rnacentral:rRNA from 1 species